UACGUAGGGUGCGAGCGUUGUCCGGAAUUAUUGGGCGUAAAGAGCUCGUAGGCGGUGUGUCACGUCGGCCGUGAAAACCUGCAGCUUAACUGUGGGCGUGCGGUCGAUACGGGCAUCACUGGAGUUCGGCAGGGGAGACUGGAAUUCCGGUGUAGCGGUGAAAUGACGCAGAUAUCAGGAGGAACACCGGUGGCGAAGGCGGAUCUCCUGGGCCGACUACUGACGCUGGAGAAG
rnacentral:rRNA from 1 species